AUUGAACGCUGGCGGCAUGCCUUACACAUGCAAGUCGAACGGCAGCACGGGGGCAACCCUGGUGGCGAGUGGCGAACGGGUGAGUAAUGCAUCGGAACGUGCCCCGUAGCGGGGGAUAACCAGUCGAAAGACUGGCUAAUACCGCAUACGCUCCACGGAGGAAAGCAGGGGAUCGCAAGACCUUGCACUAUGGGAGCGGCCGAUGCCCGAUUAGCUAGUUGGUGAGGUAAAGGCUCACCAAGGCGACGACGGGUAGCCGGCCUGAGAGGGCGACCGGCCACACUGGGACUGAGACACGGCCCAGACUCCUACGGGAGGCAGCAGUGGGGAAUCUUGCGCAAUGGGCGAAAGCCUGACGCAGCGACGCCGCGUGAGGGAUGACGGCCUGGUGUAACU
rnacentral:rRNA from 1 species